rnacentral:pre_miRNA from 1 species
CUCCGGUGAACAUUCAACGCUGUCGGUGAGUUUUGUGGCUGAGGUGAAACCAUCGACCGUUGCGUGUGCCCCGUGG